UACGUAGGUGGCAAGCGUUGUCCGGAUUUACUGGGCGUAAAGGGAGCGUAGGCGGACUUUUAAGUGAGAUGUGAAAUACCCGGGCUCAACUUGGGUGCUGCAUUUCAAACUGGAAGUCUAGAGUGCAGGAGAGGAGAAUGGAAUUCCUAGUGUAGCGGUGAAAUGCGUAGAGAUUAGGAAGAACACCAGUGGCGAAGGCGAUUCUCUGGACUGUAACUGACGCUGAGGCUCGAAAGCGUGGGGAGCAAACAGGAUUAGAUA
rnacentral:rRNA from 1 species